rnacentral:rRNA from 13 species
GGACGCGAUCAUAUCAGCACUAAAGCACCGGAUCCCAUCAGAACUCCGAAGUUAAGCGUGCUUGGGCGAGAGUGACCUCCUGGGAAGUCCUCGUGUUGCAUUCC